GAUGAACGCUGGCGGCGUGCUUAACACAUGCAAGUCGAACGAUGAAGCCCAGCUUGCUGGGUGGAUUAGUGGCGAACGGGUGAGUAACACGUGAGUAACCUGCCCUUAACUCUGGGAUAAGCCUGGGAAACUGGGUCUAAUACCGGAUAGGAGCGCCUACCGCAUGGUGGGUGUUGGAAAGAUUUAUCGGUUUUGGAUGGACUCGAGGCGUAUCAGCUUGUUAGUGAGGUAAUGGUUCACCAAGGCGACGACGGGUAGCCGGCCUGAGAGGGUGACCGGCCACACUGGGACUGAGACACGGCCCAGACUCCUACCGGAGGCAGCAGUGGGGAAUAUUACACAAUAACCCAAAGCCUGAUGCAGCGACGCCGCGUUCGUAAUGACGGCCUUCGGGUUGUAAACCUCUUUCAGUAGAAAAGAAGCGAAAUUGACGGUACCUACAGAAGAAGCACCGGCUAACUACGUG
rnacentral:rRNA from 1 species